rnacentral:rRNA from 1 species
ACGCUCGACACCUACGGGAGGCAGCAGUUGGGAAUAUUGGACAAUGGAGGGAACUCUGAUCCAGUGACGCCGCGUGAAGGAAGAAGGUCUUCGGGUUGUAAACUUAUUUUAUCAGGGAAGAAAGAAAUGACAGUACCUGAAGAAGAAGGACCGGCUAACUACGUGCCGGCAGCCGCGGUAAUCUGAGCGGGCUGGCAAGGC